rnacentral:rRNA from 1 species
CCUAUGGGACGCGGAGGGACAUUA